rnacentral:sRNA from 1 species
AAAACAAUGCUUGAACGUGUAAUUUUGGGUCCGUAAUAUAGCCCAAAUCACAAAAAUGCUCGAAAGAGUACUUAAAGGUCAAAACUUAGGGUCGACAAAAAGUCAAUGGAAAAGUUCCUUUGUCCUGCUUCUUUCGUCGGAGGGCUCUAUUUGGGCUUUCCAAAAAGGUAUCACAUGCUAAGGUUGGCCUCACGGUAUAAAAGUUAUAGAGUCAUAAAGUUUUAACCAAAAAAAGACAAAUUAAAAAAAAGAGGGAUGCAACACGAGAAUUUCCCGGGAGGUCACCCAUCCUAGAACAACUCUCGCCCAAGCGCGGUUAACUAAAGGUCAAAAUUUGGAGUCGACAAAAAAUCAAUGGAUAUGUUCCAUUGUCCUGCUUCUUUCAUUUGAGGGCUCUCUUUGGGCUUUACGAAAAGGUAUCACAUGUCAAGUUUGGCCUCACUAUAUAAAAGUUAUAGAGUCAUAAAGUUUUAAUCAAAGAAAAAAAUAAAA